rnacentral:lncRNA from 1 species
UUAUGGGGCAGGAGCACUUAGGGGGCAGGGGCACUUAUGGGGCAGGAGCACUUAUGGGGCGGGGGCACUUAUGGGGCAGGGACACAUCACUAUGGGGCAGGAGCACUUAUGGGGCGGGGGCACUUAUGGGGCAGGAACUCACCCAGGGAGUGGCGGGAGACAUCGGGGACGUUCUCAUAUUGCUCGGGGGGGGUGGCUGUGGGGCAAUCAGUGGGGUCAGUGGGAUCUAUGGGGUCAGUGGGGUGUAUGGGGUCAAUCAAUGGGGUCAGUGGGGCAAUCAGUGGGGUCAGUGGGAUCUAUGGGUUCAAUCAAUGGGGUCAGUGGGGUGUAUGGGGUCAGUCAAUGGGGUCAGUGGGGCAAUCAGUGGGGUCAGUGGGGUGUAUGGGGUCAAUCAGUGGGGUCAGUGGGAUCUGUGGGGUCAGUGGGGCAAUCAGUGGGGCCUAUGGGGUCAGUGGGGCAAUCAGUGGGGUCAGUGGGAUCUAUGGGGUCAGUCAGUGGGGUCAGUGGGGUGUAUGGGUGGGAUCUAUGGGGUCAGUGGGGUGUAUGGGGUCAGUCAGUGGGGUCAGUGGGAUCUGUGGGGUCAGUGGGGCAAUCAGUGGGGUCAGUGGGAUCUAUGGGGUCAGUGGGGUGUAUGGGGUCAGUCAAUGGGGUCAGUGGGGUGUAUGGGGUCAGUCAUGGGGUCAGUGGGGUGUAUGGGGUCAGUCAAUGGGGUCAGUGGGGUGUAUGGGUGUGAUCUAUGGGGUCAGUGGGGUGUAUGGGGUCAAUCAAUGGGGUCAGUCAGUGGGGUCAGUGGGAUCUAUGGGGUCAGUGGGAUCUAUGGGGUCAGUCAAUGGGGUCAGUGGGGUGUAUGGGGUCAAUCAGUGGGGUCAGUGGGAUCUAUGGGGUCAGUGGGGCAAUCAGUGGGGUCAGUGGGGUGUAUGGGGUCAGUCAGUGGGGUCAGUGGGGCAAUCAGUGGGGUGUAUGGGGUCAGUGGGGUCUAUGGGGCCAAUCAAUGGGGUCAGUGGGUUUUAUGGGGUCAAUCAGUGGGGUCAGUGGGAUCUAUGGGGUCAGUCAGUGGGGUCAUGGGGGCGUAUGGGGUCAGUCAAUGGGGUCAGUGGGGUGUAUGGGGUCAGUCAGUGGGGUCAGUGGGGUGUAUG